rnacentral:rRNA from 1 species
AUGCCAUGGUUCUGCCCUUCUUCCCUCCCCUUCCCUGAUGCUCUUCUCUCCCUCACGCAGGCACACAUCCAACAUCGCCAUGGACCAGUAGCUCAAGCCGUCUUCUUCCAGAUGGUGAUGGAGUUCCCUCACCAUCUGCAGGUCAUCAUCCUUAAGGGCUCCACCAUCUGCAGGUCUUCCUUCUUCUCUUCUCUCUGUUGGAUUCCAUUUGAUUUUUCUGCUCUAUUGGUGAAGCUCCCUCUCUUCUCUGCUGCAGUGUCUACAGUGGACUAUUUGCAUCUUCAGUGCAAAUACCUGAUUGUAUAUGGAUGGAUUGUAGGGUCUAACCACCUUGAUUUGAUUCGGGCUGGAGCAGCAGCAGCAGGUCCUUCCUUCCAUGGAGGGCAUCCACAACAUGACCCGCACAAGGAGCUCCAAGCAGACAAGCACAGGUUUCUUUGUUUGUAA